rnacentral:rRNA from 1 species
CAUUACCGAGUUUACAACUCCCAAACCCAAUGUGAACGUUACCAAACUGUUGCCUCGGCGGGAUCUCUGCCCCGGGUGCGUCGCAGCCCCGGACCAAGGCGCCCGCCGGAGGACCAACCAAAACUCUUAUUGUAUACCCCCUCGCGGGUUUUUUUUAUAAUCUGAGCCUUCUCGGCGCCUCUCGUAGGCGUUUCGAAAAUGAAUCAAAACUUUCAACAACGGAUCUCUUGGUUCUGGCAUCGAUGAAGAACGCAGCGAAAUGCGAUAAGUAAUGUGAAUUGCAGAAUUCAGUGAAUCAUCGAAUCUUUGAACGCACAUUGCGCCCGCCAGUAUUCUGGCGGGCAUGCCUGUCCGAGCGUCAUUUCAACCCUCGAACCCCUCCGGGGGGUCGGCGUUGGGGAUCGGCCCUCCCUUAGCGGGUGGCCGUCUCCGAAAUACAGUGGCGGUCUCGCCGCAGCCUCUCCUGCGCAGUAGUUUGCACACUCGCAUCGGGAGCGCGGCGCGUCCACAGCCGUUAAACACCCAACUUCUGAAAUGUUG